UAUCGCUGUAUUCAGAGAUCGAUCAGGGAGGUUUGGUUAUUUUGACUCUCACUGCAGAUCAAUAUAUGGAAUACCUGUUGAAGAAGGUACAGGUACAGCGGUAUUCCUGACGUUUUAUCAAUUACCGGAUCUCGUGGACAGGCUUUUACUGUUGUAUCAAGGGUGUUUUGAUUUGAGAGACCAGGAAGAGUUUGAGCUGCUGCCUGUAUCAUUCAUUAACAUGAUGACUGAAAGCUGUGUAUGUACUGAAGUCUCACUGAACUGCUGUGAUCUUGAACAUGAUGUGCAACCAUCCGUCUCAUUUGAGAACAAAGCUCUGUCAAACAAUGAAAAAUGCAUGUCUGAUGAUGUCCCACAACAGUAUGUUCAAGUCCAAGAUCCACCUCAACAACUCUCUGAGACUGCUGUUAACAGAGCCACAUCAACUGAUGAACAAGCCCACUUGACUGAAGUCUCCCCGAGCUGCUGUGACCUUGAACUUAAUGUGCAAUCAUCAUUCACAUUUGAGAAGAAAGAUCUGUCAAAUGAUGAACAAUGCUCAUCUACUGAUGUCCUACAACAUGUUCAAGUCCAAGAUCCAGUUCAACAACUUUCUGAGACUGCUGUUAACAGAGCCACAUCAACUGAUGAACAAGCCCACUUGAUUUAUCAAGAUAAAAUGGAAGUUCAAACUACUGUCACUCAGAAUCGAGACAAAUGUAAAAAUGUACCAUUGAGUGAACUUUCUCAUAACAUACUGUCACAAGAUCAAUUUGCAUUGUCAGCUCCAAAUCACCAGAAUUCACAAUUCACAGUCAAGCAGACAGAAAAACUGAACAAGACUCAAAAGCGAAGGUCUUACUGUAAAAAAUGGCAUAAAGAAAUGGUUCAGAGACAAGGUGUUUAUGACAAAAAACUGUCUGUACGUAAAGUCUAUAAUUACAAAACAAGUAGUGAAUACAGACACAGACAUAAACAAGCCAUGAAGAAAAGCUAUUGGAAUAAUAUUGCUUAUAGAGAAAAACACAAACAAGCAAUUAAAAACAACUAUAAAAAUAAUAAUGAAUACAGAGAGAGAACAAAAUCUUAUGCGAUUAACAAGUACAGAAAUAAUGAACAGUACAGAGGGGAAAAAAAGAGUAAAAUAACCUUAAAUUACAGGAAUGAUGAACAAUUUAGAGAGAGACAAAAGAAAUAUAUAAUUCAAAAUUACAAGAAUGAUGAACAAUUCAGGGAGAGACAAAAGAAAUAUAUAAUUCGAAAAUACAGGCACAAUGUAAAGUAUAAGGAACCGCAUAAGCAAAAUCUUGUUGACAGAUAUUUAAAAGAUCCAAUUUUUAGGCAAAGACAAAUUGACCAUUAUACAAACCGAUGCAAAAGAGAUCCUAACUUCUAUGAAAAAAGGAAGAACAUUUUUAAACAACACUAUCACUAUGAUGGAUAUUUUAGGGCUCGUCAGAAAGAAUAUUAUUUAUUCAAAUCUAAAAACAAAAUAUAUGAUCUUAAGGUACUUCACAAAGUACAUUGUGCACAAGAGAUACAGUACAAAUACAAAAAAAUGCAUCUGAUGCGCAGGCAAAGAGAAACAUUACAAGAUAGCCAGCCUGACAUAGUACAAAAUCCAGACAUGUUAAGAGCCUUUAAUAUUUUCAGAGAUGUUAUAAAACAGGGGCCAACAUAUGUCUGCACAUGCUGUGCCAGAGCACUCUUCUCAAAUCAAGUGCGCAAUUGUGAAGUGCAUAAAUAUAAACAAAAUCCAACAGUUGCUGCACUUUGCUUGACUAGAAACUAUGUUCACAUCUGCUCUGACUGCCCUGAUCGAUGUGCCUUGGAAGACAUGAAAACAGAAUGGAUUUGUCACAGCUGCCAUACAACACUUUUGAGAGGUCUAAUGCCAGAUAUUGCUGUAGCUAAUAUGCUUCAGUUCACUCCCAUUCCUCCAGAACUGUGUGAUUUGAAUAUUCUAGAAAGACAUGUCAUUGCAAAGUACAUUCCCUUUGCGAAAAUUUUAACACUUCCUAAAGGCCAACAGAGAGCUAUAAAAGGAGCUGUAAUUUCCGUUGCAUCUGAAGUAGAAACAACAGUAAAUUGUUUACCAAGACCAAGAAGUGAAUCACAGCUGCUUACAGUGAAAUUGAAAAGACGUCUGUGCUACCAAGGUCACUAUCAGUUCCAGACUUUGAACAUGCAUAAGGUCUUGUCUGCUUUAAGAAAACUCAAAGAAAUGCAUUCAGAAUAUAAAGAUAUCAUCAUUAAUGCAGCACUCUCAGAAGAAGAAAUGUUCAAUGAGCAUGAACAGUCCACAAAUGACAUCAGUGCUCCUGAUGAGGAAAUGGAUGUUGAGAGCAGCAGUCCAAAUGAGAACACUGAAGAUCAGAGCAAUGAGAAUCAACACAAUGAUUCAAGUGAUGACCCUGAGAAUACUGCAGAAGAGCAAUCAAGAGGCCUUGCUUUGGAUACAUGUCUUCAGCCCCCAGAUCUUGGUCAUCAGCUGCUGUCUUAUGAUGACGGAAUAUUUUGCAUUGCCCCAGCAUCGAAAAAUAGUCCUGUUAGCAUUUUCAAAGUUAAAAAACUUGAAUCAAUGUCGUUCCCGGUUCAGUUCCCUGAUGGGAAAAAUACCUUUGAUGAGCCUGACAGAGAAAAACAUGUUUCCCCCAGCAGAUACUUUAACACAAGACUGUUCUCUGUUGACAAUCGUUGUGCAAGAGACACAAACUACAUCUUCUUUGCUCAGUUUGUCACUGAAAUGCACAUGGCCACAUCUAGUAUGUCUAUCCAGCUGAGAAAAGCAAAACCCAUGACCCGUGAUGGACGCAGAAUAAACUGUUCACUGCUGCAGGACAAACAAGAGUUAGAAAAGCUUGUGAAUAAUAAGGAGGCAACACGUUUCAUGCAACCAUUAAGAGGGACUCCAGCAUACUGGGAGAAAACUAUGCGUGAUUUGUUUGCUAUGCUGAGACAGCUGGGCACUCCCACAUUUUUCUGUACGUUUAGUGCUGCUGAGAUGAGAUGGCCUGAAGUGAUUACUGCUAUUAAAGCACAACAAGGUGAAACUGUGAACUUUGAUGAAUUAGACUGGUCUGAAAAAUGUGAAAUCCUGAGAAGCAACCCAGUCACAGCCAUGCGGAUGUUUGAAAAACGCGUUGAAGCCUUAAUGAGGGAUCUAAUCAUGUCACCUGCUCGGCCUAUCGGUGAAGUAAUUGACUUUUUUUACAGAGUAGAAUUUCAGUUACGUGGAUCUCCACACAUUCACUGCUUAUUUUGGGUGAAAGAUGCUCCAGAG
ensembl:lncRNA